GCCCCCGUUGUCUAAUGGUUAUGACGUCAGACUUCUAGCUUACGUAAUGAAUCUGGAGGUUAUGGGUUCGAGUCCCAUCGGGGGUU